rnacentral:rRNA from 1 species
AUUGAACGCUGGCGGCAGGCCUAACACAUGCAAGUCGAGCGGAAGAAGCGAGCUUGCUCCUGGAUUCAGCGGCGGACGGGUGAGUAAUUCCUAGGAAUCUGCCUGGUAGUGGGGGAUAACGUCCUGAAACGGGCGCUAAUACCGCAUACGUCCUGAGGGAGAAAGUGGGGGAUCUUCGGACCUCACGCUAUCAGAUGAGCCUAGGUCGGAUUAGCUAGUUGGUGGGGUAAAGGCCUACCAAGGCGACGAUCCGUAACUGGUCUGAGAGGAUGAUCAGUCACACUGGAACUGAGACACGGUCCAGACUCCUACGGGAGGCAGCAGUGGGGAAUAUUGGACAAUGGGCGAAAGCCUGAUCCAGCCAUGCCGCGUGUGUGAAGAAGGUCUUCGGAUUGUAAAGCACUUUAAGUUGGGAGGAAGGGCAGUAAGUUAAUACCCUGCUGUUUUGACGUUACCAACAGAAUAAGCACCGGCUAACUUCGUG